CUCCAAUCGAUCCCGUCAGCUGUCUAUCACUGACUUCCCCUCGUGACUACAGUUGCGAGCGGUAAUAUGUUCGCCACCUAUGAACUCGUAGAGGUGGCAUCUGCAGUAUUAACGGCAUAUUACUAGUAGCGAGGAUAGGGAUCGGCAGAAGCAGUACCAACGAACCAUAUGGACAGCUGGUUGUCAAGUACUGUACCGACCUUUCAGCAGUGAACGUGAUGGCAUAAUUGAAUGUGAAAUAAUGUAAAACUGGUUACCCCAGAUUGGGACAAGUUUUGAUCAUAGAUAUAAUUUGAGCACACUUUGAAGAGGAGCUCAAGAUGGUACUACAUACCAAAUAUGGAAGCUGGAGGCUUUGCGGUCUCACACAAGAAGAUUAUAAUUGUUAUUCCUUACAUAUUUUCUACGUAAAAAUGUUGAUCCCCGGGGCGAGUCCAGUUUUGACCCGAGUGACAAAUUUGUGGACGACCUCUAGAUGAUGCUUCAUACCAAAGUUGAAAAGAUUAGUUCUGCGGUUUCAGACAAGACGAUUUUUGUAGGUAUUCUCUAUGUAUAAGUAAAUGUAAAACAGUGGUAAAGAUUGUUGAAGUUUUCGCGUUAAAAUUUCGUUUUGGUUAUCGUAACCUAA